AUGGCCUGCAGCAGCAGCACGGAAGACAGAAGUGUUUCGAGGAGGCUUAAUCCAGAAAAUGAACCAUUUUUCAUCUUGGAUAUCUUGUUAAGAGUCCGGGAGAGCCGGGCAGUGGUGGCACAUGUCUUGGGAGGCAGACACAGGCAGAUCUCUGUGAGUUUGAGACCAGCCUGGUCUACAAGAGUUUGUUCCAGAACAGCCUCCAAAAUCACAGAGAAACCCUGUCUCAAACCAAAAAGAAAAGAAAAGAAGAGAAAAGGAGUCAGGGAGAUCAUGCAGUUGGGCAGCAUGUCUGGGGGCAGGACCUGUUUGAGCUUCUGGUUGCUGUACACCACCCUGCCUUGGUUCCAGAUGCCCUGCCAGUACCCUGGGCAUAACCAUCAUGUUUGCAGCCUGAGGUCAGCACAACCACCUGUGCUCUCCUCCCCCAGCAUGGGCUUUUCAUGAAAAUGAGACACAUGUACUCCUGUCAGCACCAAUUACUUCAAAGAGGAUGAUGGACGUCAAAGAAACUCGUUACAGAGUUUGCCUACAAUGUGACAGGACUAGCCAUUUGGGUAAGAAACUGUUUUUGCCUAGACUGCUUGACUGCAUGCUGUAUAAACUGGACAUACAGAACCCACAGGAAAGUGACUGCUGAACUUGCCAAGGGAUGGGAUUCUCCUUCAGGGUUCCUGAUUCACAGAGGAAACUCCCAGACAUUCUGCAGGACACAGAAGAAAAAAAACUUAUGAACUUUUCCAGUACAAGACAAAACAGAUAUUCAAAUUUCCUGCUUCAUUAAAAAGUCUGCCAGAUACUAUGGGCCUAUAGAUUGAAGGUAGAUCCCCCAACAUUACAGAAGAACUUUGGUUGACUGUCCAGGCAGCAAGAUGUCUCUGUAAAUUCUAGAGUUUUGGAAUUGCUUACAAUGCACUUCCUGAUUACUUAGGUAAUAAUAUAUCCUUCUGGGGUCUUUGAUGGAGUUUGAAACAGAUAGUUAUAGUUUUCCCUAGUUAUUAUAAAAAAAUUAGAUAUAAAACUUUCGACUCACAAAAAUAAGUUAGAUGAUAGAGUAUUUGUCAAAUACAAAUAGACUAAAUAUUGUAACUAUAAUUUUUGCUUGAUUACUGUUUUAUUAUAUAUAAUUUUACUAUGUUAAAAUUAAAACCUUCCUUUUUAUUUAGAAAGAAAAGGGGAGAUGAUGUGACUUAUCUUUCUGUAUGCUGUGUAUUGCUUAUAGCAUGAAAAAUAAAAGACCCAGAGACUGAUAUUGGGGUUCA
rnacentral:lncRNA from 1 species